GAUGAACGCUGGCGGCGUGCCUAACACAUGCAAGUCGAACGGAAGGGCGAGAAUCUUGCUUCUCUGUUGUUAGCGGCGGGGGGGCGUGUCACACGUGUAUCAUCUACCUGUCUGUCUGGUAAAUCCUCGAGAAACCGGAUCUAAUACCAGAUAAUCUUUUGAUCCGUAUGGUUGAAUAGAGAAAGUCGGUCGUGCUGUCUCUUAUAGCUGCUUCCGCGCUGCAUUAGCUAGUUGGUGAGGUACCGGCUUAUCAAGGCGACGAUGCAUAGCAGAACUGCCAGGGUGAUCGGCCACCCUGGGACUGAGACACGGUCCAGACUCCUACGGGAGGCAGCCGUAGGGAAUCGUGCGCAAGGAGCGGAAGCUUGACGGAGCAACGCCGCGUGAGUGAUGAAGGUCUUCGGAUCGUAAAACUCUGUUAUUAGGGAAGAACAUAUGUGUAAGUAACUGUGCGCAUCAUGAAGGUAACUAAUCAGAGAGGCACGGCUAACUUCGGG
rnacentral:rRNA from 1 species